AGUGAACGCUGGCGGUAUGCCUAACACAUGCAAGUCGAUCGGCAACAUAUUAAGAGCCUGCCUAUCCAGGGGGGGCGGGGGGGACAGGCGAGGGGUACAUGCGCAUCUACCUUUGCGAGGAGGCGAACGUAGCGGAACUUACCCUAAUACCGCAUACGACCUCCGGUUGAAAGCAGUGGAAAUUCGUGCUUCGGGAGAUCCAAUGGUCCGAUGUCGUAGUUGGUAGGGGGGGGGGUAAAGGCCCACCGAGGGGAGGAUCCGUGGCUGGGCUGAGAGGGUGAGCAGCCACACUGGAACUGGGACACGGUCCAGAGUCCUACGGGAGGCAGCAGUGGGGAAUAUGGGACGAUGGGCGGGAGCCUGAUCCAGCCAUACCGCGUGGGUGAAGAAGGCCUUCGGGUUGUAAAGCCCUUUUUUUGGGAAAGAAAAGCGGUAGCUUAAGACCCCGCUGUACUGACGGUACCCAAAGAAUAAGCACCGGCUAACUUCGUG
rnacentral:rRNA from 1 species